AGUGGUUUAUACUGGGCCUUACUGGUUUAUACUGGUCCAUGCUGAUUUAUACUGGUCCAUACUGGUUUAUACUGGUACAUACUGGUCUGUACUGGGAACAUUGGUCUAUUUUUGUUUUUACUGGAAUCACCAGUCUGUAGGGGUUUGCACUGGUUUGUACCGGUCUGUACUGGUUUAUAGUGGUUUAUACUGGGCCUUACUGGUUUAUACUGGUCCAUGCUGAUUUAUACUGGUCCAUACUGGUUUAUACUGGUACAUACUGGUCUGUACUGGGUACAUUGGUCUGUUGUGGUUUUUGGUGGGAUCACCAGUUUGUAGUGGUUUGUGCUGGUUUGUACUGGUCUGUACUGGUUUAUAGUGGUUUAUACUGGGCCUUACUGGUUUAUACUGGUCCACACUGGUUUAUACUGGUUUAUACUGGUUUAUACUGGUCUCUGUGCCCCCCCAGAGUUGCAGACGGGCCCCCCCACCCCAGACCCUGCCAGCACCGAGAGCAGCGGGAUGGCCUGGGCGUCCCCCAGCCCAUCGACCACGGAGGAGGACCCGGCGCCAAAGGCGGUGACAGAGUGCGGUGUGUGGGGUCGGGGGUUACGGGG
rnacentral:lncRNA from 1 species